AUCCAGGGAUGGGAAUCGAACCCACAGUGUUCCGCUUACCGGGCAGAUGCCACUAGGCUACCCUGGA
rnacentral:tRNA from 1 species